UACUGCUAUCUGCCAGUUUUGUUCCUAUUUUUAGCAUCUCUUGGUAGAGAAGUAGACAUUUUCCUUUGUGCCAAUGUUGGUCUGGGGGCAGCUGCCAGCUGUGAGCCCUGCUCCAAAAUCCUGCCCCUAAAAGUGAGCAAGCUCAGAACACAGGGAAGAGAAAAACAGGGGUGCAGCUAUCGGUGCUGUUGGGAGGAUGUGAUUUGGAAGCAGGACGCGGCGUGGGAGGAAAGAAAGGAGGGGCCCCUGCUAGAGAUGAAAUACUUCGACAGUGAAGCAGUUUGAACAGGAGACACAUUUGUCUGUACCCUGGAAGCCCAUCUUUGUGUAAAGGGCUAGACAGACCAAACCUCUUCUACUUUACAAAUGGGCCGUAUGCCAGCGAUGCACAGCACAGGCUUGGCCAAGGCAGCUCGGAAACCUCCAAGUAAAGCGAAGAGUGAAACUCGAGAGAAGAGUUGUCAAGUCUGUAAAUGACUCAGCUUUGACUUUGAAGAGGAAGAUGCCUCCCCUCUCCUGUGCUCUCUGGCUGUUUUAUACUCUUCAGAGCAACACCCCCCCCCAGCGCCCCAGGAAUACGGGGUCGUGCGGACGUGGCAUGUUGUACGUGCCGAAGGGACACGGUCAGCAGUGGGGACUCGAAAGAAUGCUCCCCGGAGCCGAGUGCUGGGCCGGGACACCCCAGUCUGCUGUCAGGGAAACAGCCGCAGGCCCCUGAUGCAGCACUCUGACUACAGCUGGGCAGAGUUUUUUUAAUUUGCCAAAAAGAGGCAGUUUUGAGGCAACAAAAGCAUUUGCGAAGUUGGGGCGAAUUCAGCAAAUUGUUCUGACUUUUUUCCAGAAUUUUUGUCCUCCCUUUCUAUUGGGUCAAAACUGAUUGUUUCAACAUUUCCAACACAAACCGUUUCAACAUUUUGUUUAGAAAAAAGCGUUUGUUUAACCCCAAUGAAAUCUUUUCAGUUUUUCGUUUAGACAUGAAAAAAAAUUAUUAAAAAAAACCAAUCAGGGUUUAGCUUUGAUUUUUUUCUGGAUGUUUUUGGUUCAGCCACCAAACUA